AAUCCAUAGGUUAAUGAGGCGAACCGGGGGAACUGAAACAUCUAAGUACCCCGAGGAAAAGAAAUCAACCGAGAUUCCCCCAGUAGCGGCGAGCGAACGGGGAGGAGCCCAGAGCCUGAAUCAGCAUGUGUGUUAGUGGAAGCGUCUGGAAAGGCGCGCGAUACAGGGUGACAGCCCCGUACACAAAAGCGCAUGUGCUGUGAGCUCGAUGAGUAGGGCGGGACACGUGGUAUCCUGUCUGAAUAUGGGGGGACCAUCCUCCAAGGCUAAAUACUCCUGACUGACCGAUAGUGAACCAGUACCGUGAGGGAAAGGCGAAAAGAACCCCGGCGAGGGGAGUGAAAAAGAACCUGAAACCGUGUACGUACAAGCAGUGGGAGCACAGGUUUACCUGUGUGACUGCGUACCUUUUGUAUAAUGGGUCAGCGACUUAUAUUCUGUAGCAAGGUUAACCGUAUAGGGGAGCCGGAGGGAAACCGAGUCUUAACCGGGCGUUAAGUUGCAGGG
rnacentral:rRNA from 1 species